AAAAAGGAAAACAUAGUGUUUAUACAUAAGGAAAACCAAGUUAAACACACAAAUUAACUAGUUUGAAAGGUACAAAAUCAUCAUUUAAACAACUGCUCAGUUACAAAUCUCGGCUUGAAUAAGCCAACUUCAUGUUCUCCAUUCUCAUAAAUUAAGAGGUGAGGCGAAUACUUGGAAAUAAAAAUAAAAGGGAGGUAAGAUCAGUAGUAACAACAACAGUAAGCAGCAACAGAAGUAACACCCCAGAACCAACUUUAAACCAAGAAUUGUUGUGUAGCAAUCAAAACAAGAAAACAAAAACUUCAACCUAAGCCUUUCAAACCACCAAAAUCAAACUAUUUCAGCCCCACUUAGGUCAGAAAUCAUUUCAGGAGUUGAGACUUGAGAAAUCGCAGAAAUAAUCAAUGAAACAAUAACUUUUCACUAAAGAUUCUUAGCCGUCUUAUUUUCUGAACUUUUUC
rnacentral:lncRNA from 1 species